UCGAAAAGCAAUUAAUUUAAAAGCAACACACCGCGCCGAAAUUCAAUUUCUUGGAGAGUUCCACGCAGCCAUGUUGAACUUGAUCAUGAUGUUGUACGGGGCGAAAGAGAGUGACAUGAAAAGGAGAAGCAUGAUUAACUUUGGAUGAAAUUUCUGAUUUAACAGAAGAUGAAGACAUUUACGUCCCUGUUUAGCGGUAGGAACAAUGUACAAAUUUUUAUCAUUUGUCCUUGAAUGAAUAAUUGCCUCUGCUACUAAUAAUGUUACUGUUCUUUAGUCUGGGUACUACACAUAAAAUGCCUAGCAGUAAAAACGUUUGGGCAAGCGCUAUUUAAAUUUUGUAAUAAUUAUUUAGCACUUUUAAUUAUCUCUCUUAAAGAUGGAUUUUAACCAGAAUUUUCUCGUUUGGUAUUGGUUUCAGAAUUUUAGUCACUAAAGUGUUCCUCUGUUCAGCAUUUACAGAGUAUGUUGUACAAUGUAAUAAAAUAUUUAUUUAUUUCUUAUGCAUACUCAAGAGUAUAUUCAGCACUUAUUUUGUUUUAUUUAAAUAGUUGCAGUGGACUGUGCUUGAGACGAUUCCCCACAUCGCUGGCUAUGUAGACAGCUUGUGAAAAUGAAAUUGUGCCAGAAAAGUUUGAAGUAGCUAUGGGAAUGAUCAACAUUGAACUUGCUGAGCCUUCCUUCUGAAAGUGACUUGACCAGAUAUUUGGCUACCCAGUAUGAGGUACAAACUAAGGCCAAAAUAAAAAAUACUCUUGUUUCCUGUCACCCGACCUACCCUAAAUUUUACCCUCCAACCUAAAAGUUCUUAUUACAUUUUCAUUUUUUGGGUGACUAUUUUCCUAAAAUUUUAAAGUCAACCAACAAUAUAAAUACAAAACUAAUACAUCACAAUUGUACAGGAUACCUUUAUUCUAUAAAUCCUGAUUAACAAACUAGCUCUGUAAACUGUUAACAUAUCAUUUUCUUGUUAUUACAUGAUAUAUGUUCUGCAUCCAAUGAGUUUUCAAAAUAAAAUUUUUUCUCAAAAUAAAUUUUUUUCACUACCUACUUACCCUAAUUUUUUUAGUCAGGGGACAGGAAACAAGAGUUUAUUUUCUUUUGGCCUAAUCAUUUGUUGUACGACUUAUUGUGUAUGAGAUCGCCACCAUUUACUAGAACUUUGCAUUUGCUGUCCACUUUAAAAACCUGCUAUCUACAGUGUAAGUUGUUAAAUUAAAUAUCUUUUACUUAAUAUCAAAUGACUUGCUCAUUAUCCUAAUAUUUUACUCUUAAAUUCCAUGUGUUUCGAGUAUGUACAUCCAUUUUAUAUCAUGUUUUGUUGUCUCUAAAUUUAAUCUAAUACAUAUCAUAAUAUGUUAUUGUAUGACUGUUAUCUACUUGCUCUAAAAUCAUAAAUACAUCUGUUUGUAUAUUUUUUCUACGAGAUGCCAUACCUGCUUGUAAUUUUUCAUAUUUUUUUUUAUCCAUAAUAUUUUUCUGCUACAUUAAAUAAAAUAUCGUGGAGGAACACUAAGAAAGGGGCUGUGCAUCUCAACAUAUUCAAGGCCAAGCAGCUUUUUACCAUAUCCAUAGUAUCUUGCUGCUAAAUGAAAGAAUUAUUGUGGAGGAGCAGAGAAAUGGGCACUUCAACAUGUUCAAGGUCAAGCAGAAAUUAGGAGCUAGAUGUGCUUCUCCAGAACUGAAAACUUCUUGGCAUGAAGAGAAGAAAAAGCAAGAAGAAGCAGUUUUAAAUAUUGAUUACGUCUUCAUAGUACACAAAAAUUAUUCUAAAGAUAAUACUAUCUAUGAAAUUAGAAAGCUGAAGUUGUGUUCUGAUGAAUGUGAGAAUGUCUU